rnacentral:lncRNA from 1 species
AUCUCUUUGCAAGUUUGUUCUCAAAUUCCACUCUUUGAUCUCUCAAAAAGCCAUAAAGGUGCCAUAGAUGUACAAUUUUAUAUUUUGGGGUCUGAUUUCAAGUUAAGUUGAUAAUCGGUGUCAUUAUAUGUGGUGUUUCACUUGAAAAUGCACCAAACACCUAGAUGUGGAAGAUAAAAGGAAAAUUUCAAUAAUAAGUCCUAAUAACUCUAAUAGAUUUUCAAAAAAAUUACAAUGAAAUAUUAGCAAAUAUAAUCAAACAUCAAAUCAAAUUAAAUCAAAAUUUCAAAGAUGUUAUGUAAAAAACACAAAGUAUUCUUAAAAAACCUUAAAAGAAAUCAUAAAGAAAUAAUAUAGAAUUCAAAAAUAUACUAAAAUAAUAAUCUUAAUAGAAUAUUAAAAUAAAAAUCUUAAUUAAAUCCUAGUCAAAUCCAAAUCAAAUUCUAAUUAAAUCCUAUUUAAAUCCUAAAUAAAGCUUAACCAAACCCUAGUCAAACCUUAAAAAUCUUAACUAAAUCCUAAUCAAACCCUAUUCAAAUCCUAAAAAAAUUCUAAACAGAUCCUUAUCAAAUCCUAAACAAAUCCUAACUAAACUCUAAACAAACCUAAAAAACCUUAAUCGAACCCUAAUCGAAUCCUAAACAUAUCUUAAUCAAAUCCUAAAUAAUCCCAAAUAAUUCCUAGAGCAGAUUUAAAUCUCAAUAACUAAUGAAUGAACCAUUUAUUUUAACUCAAAUUUUUCACACCUCUUUAUAAUUAAGUUGAAAAUAAGCACAAAGUUUUUAAAGAAGAUCGAAUUCACCAAAAAGAAUAUCAACUCUAAUAUUUGCUUGGAUUUUGGCCAGCCUCCUUCUUCAAUCUGAAUGUUGAAUUUUUAGUGUCAAUAUCUCCUUAUUAAAUUAUUUGAUUAAUUUCAAAUUUCUUAAAAAUAUGGAAAAAUAAGUCUAUUAUCCAUAUACAUAAUUUUCCUUCAAAUCCAACUAAUAGAUUGCAAGAAAUCUAAGAAAGCCUCACUGGACUUAAAACUCUACUUUCCUAGACUCCGACUCACUUAAACCUCAAUAAUCCUUGAUCCAACCCUUCAAUCAAGCUAAAAAUCACAGCAUACAUUGAACACAUAUAUAUCCACAAACCUUCAAAAUAUCACUUAUAGAUCUAUUGCCAAAACUACGAAAUUCUCCAAAAAAUAUCACCCACUUUAUUUCACAAAUCUAGAAUCACCUAAAACAAACCUCAACUUUGCAAAGCUCUUACAAAGUCAAUACAUACUCAAAUCAUAUUAAAUCAAUACUCAAAAAAAAUCUAUCAAGUCAACUCUUAGAUCCUAUCCUUUGAUCUUCAAAAAAUCCCUAGAAUCGUUGUCGGAGCUUGGUUCUGUGCCUUCGGGUCUGAUUUUUAUCUUAGUUCAUAACCAACCCUCUCUAGGUAUCAAUAUCUAGUUUUUUUAGAUAAUUUUUACUGAAAACUACUCCUAACUUCUUUCUUAAGAUGCCUAUAUUAUUUUUUUUCUAAUCUAUCUUAUUUCGCUUUAUUUGUUGUCCUACAAAGUGAAUAGAAGCCUAUUUUGCAAAAAAGUAGUAUUAACACCUUUAAUUUUUCUAUCUCUUGACUAUUUUUUUUAAGAUAUUUUGUUACAAUAUAUUUAAAAUAAGAUCUUCAAAAAUAUGAUAUUUUCU